CUUCCAUCCGCCCAAAAAUUUCUUAAAAUCUUGGGUAGAUACUUCCUCUUGGCCUAUCAUUAAUCAAAACCCACUCUUUCAUGCUCUUUACCAAAACCCUUGAAACCCUCAUUUCAAAAAUUCUAAUCAAACACCUCUAAAUCUCUCAUUUCUCUUCAUUCCCAUUAACUCUUCACCCUAUAUUCCUCUCUUGACCGGUUCCUUGGCCCUCAUUGCAACAAUGGCUCCCAAGAUGCGGCUGCCCCAAAGAAGAAAAUCAGUGAAGCCACUGGAAGC
rnacentral:lncRNA from 1 species